rnacentral:pre_miRNA from 1 species
UCUUUUAUCGUUACCAACAUCCUAGAUUGUUUUCAAGGUCAUUUCUUUAUGGAACCCCAUUCCCAUAAAUUCAGUAUCCAAAGAUGGUUGCUGUAUCUAUGGGAAUAAGGGUUCCAUAACGAAAUGAUCUUGGAUGCAAUCUAGGAGUUUGCUGAUGAUAACG